rnacentral:rRNA from 1 species
UACGUAGGGGGCAAGCGUUGUCCGGAAUCAUUGGGCGUAAAGAGCGUGUAGGCGGCUCGGUAAGUCCGCUCUGAAAGCCCGGGGCUCAACCCCGGGAGGCGGGCGGAUACUGUCGGGCUAGAGUCCGGAAGAGGCGAGUGGAAUUCCUGGUGUAGCGGUGAAAUGCGCAGAUAUCAGGAGGAACACCGGUGGCGAAGGCGGUUCUCUGGGCCUUACCUGACACUGAGGAGCGAAAGCGUGGGGAGCGAACAGG